UACGUAGGGUGCAAGCGUUAAUCGGAAUUACUGGGCGUAAAGCGUGCGCAGGCGGUUUUGUAAGUCCGACGUGAAAUCCCCGGGCUCAACCUGGGAAUUGCGUUGGAGACUGCAAGGCUGGAGUCUGGCAGAGGGGGGUAGAAUUCCACGUGUAGCAGUGAAAUGCGUAGAGAUGUGGAGGAACACCGAUGGCGAAGGCAGCCCCCUGGGUCAAGACUGACGCUCAUGCACGAAAGCGUGGGGAGCAAACAGG
rnacentral:rRNA from 1 species